AUCUUAAUUUAUUUAAUAACUUUAACCUCCUGAUUUCAGGGACUGAAUUUGUCUAUGGUUUGGAAAGCUUCCAGAAAAUAAAGACUAAGGGAACUAUCAAGUGCUACUGCAAUGCAAGAAAUGAUUGAUCAGACUAAGAUCAGAUUAUUGUCUUCCUCCUGAUCAAGGUAUUCCAAGAAGAUGACCUGAUGUCCAGACUGUGCCAGUUGAUGAAAUGGCUCCUUCUAAGUGGAAGGGGGUGUUUUGAAGACAUGGCUACCAUCCUGAAGUUGACUUGUGGUUCCCAAAGACAAUUAUCUUCUGUAAGGUACAGGGAAAUAACCUCAGCAUAG
rnacentral:lncRNA from 1 species